rnacentral:tRNA from 1 species
UCCUGGGUAGCUCAACUGGUAAAGAAUCUGCCUGCAAUGUAGGAGACCCUGGUUCGAUUCCUGGGUCAGGAA